GGUCCCUAUUGCGUUGUGUCCUAAUUUUGAUAGCUCGCCAUAAUUUUGAUUGCAGUAACAUUUCGAUGAGAGAGGGAGGGGAUGAUGAGAAGAGGGAAUGAGCAAAGGAGUUGAGGGUGCAGAAGAAAGUCGAGCAACCUAUCACCUUCAAGAUGAGUUUACAUUCGCAUCGCUCGCACUUCCAUUACUGCAAAUGCCAUGAUUAGUAUGAUAAUUUCUCUACAAAUCUUGAUCAAGCCUCAUCAACCUCCAACUACAGUUGUUCGAGCAUGGACAGAGGCGAUUCGACCAUGAAUAGAGGUGCCCCUUUUGGAAUGAUGAUGCAAGGAAGUGCAAGUAUUUUUAGUGGGAGGAUGAGUUAUAUAUCAGUAGAAGCUUGUCCCAAGAACAGAAGAUAAUUAGUAAGUUAAGAAAGAAUUUAGAGAGGAGAGAGAUGUAGCUAAAGAGAUGGAGGUAUUUGUCUUUGGUUUUAGUUAUGACAAUGGUUGUAUUAGGGUGGUUGAUUAUGAUGAAAUGAAGUGUGAUUGUCUAUGUAAUUUUUGUGUAUAACCGCCGACAUUGGGAGAGAGAGUAUGGUGGCCUGGACUGGACUGUUAAGGAGUUGCUCUUUGUCUGAUGAUUAAUGUAAUUCCUCUGGUUAAGGAAUGAUCUGUAGUUGUAAUGCAAAUGAUGAAUUUGGUUGGAUCUGUGGACUGGAUUGUGGUUAUUAUUGUUUGGUCGUUGUUAAACGUGGGAAUAUUCCAUGUUCAAGUGGUAGGCUUGCUCUUGUAAUCAUUUGGUCAAUCAUACAUAUAUGCAUAAACAAGACCAUCAUGUUAUAUGUACAUACA